rnacentral:rRNA from 1 species
UGGCGACCGGCGCACGGGUGAGUAACACGUAUCCAACCUGCCGAUGACUCGGGGGAUAGCCUUUCGAAAGAAAGAUUAAUACCCGAUGGCAUAGUUCUUCCGCAUGGUAGAACUAUUAAAGAAUUUCGGUCAUCGAUGGGGAUGCGUUCCAUUAGCUUGUUGGCGGGGUAACGGCCCACCAAGGCAUCGAUGGAUAGGGGUUCUGAGAGGAAGGUCCCCCACAUUGGAACUGAGACACGGUCCAAACUCCUACGGGAGGCAGCAG